GGUUGCGUGGUGUAGUUGGUUAUCACACUUGCCUCACACGCAAGUGGUCCCCGGUUCGAGCCCGGGCGCAAUCA